UUCUUGGUCAUUUAGAGGAAGUAAAAGUCGUAACAAGGUUUCCGUAGGUGAACCUGCGGAAGGAUCAUUAAAGAAAUUUAAUAAUUUUGAAAAUGGAUUUUUUUGUUUUGGCAAGAGCAUGAGAGCUUUUACUGGGCAAGAAGACAAGAGAUGGAGAGUCCAGCCGGGCCUGCGCUUAAGUGCGCGGUCUUGCUAGGCUUGUAAGUUUCUUUCUUGCUAUUCCAAACGGUGAGAGAUUUCUGUGCUUUUGUUAUAGGACAAUUAAAACCGUUUCAAUACAACACACUGUGGAGUUUUCAUAUCUUUGCAACUUUUUCUUUGGGCAUUCGAGCAAUCGGGGCCCAGAGGUAACAAACACAAACAAUUUUAUCUAUUCAUUAAAUUUUUGUCAAAAACAAGAAUUUUCGUAACUGGAAAUUUUAAAAUAUUAAAAACUUUCAACAACGGAUCUCUUGGUUCUCGCAUCGAUGAAGAACGCAGCGAAAUGCGAUACGUAAUGUGAAUUGCAGAAUUCCGUGAAUCAUCGAAUCUUUGAACGCACAUUGCGCCCCUUGGUAUUCCAGGGGGCAUGCCUGUUUGAGCGUCAUUUCCUUCUCAAACAUUCUGUUUGGUAGUGAGUGAUACUCUUUGGAGUUAACUUGAAAUUGCUGGCCUUUUCAUUGGAUGUUUUUUUUCCAAAGAGAGGUUUCUCUGCGUGCUUGAGGUAUAAUGCAAGUACGGUCGUUUUAGGUUUUACCAACUGCGGCUAAUCUUUUUUUAUACUGAGCGUAUUGGAACGUUAUCGAUAAGAAGAGAGCGUCUAGGCGAACAAUGUUCUUAAAGUUUGACCUCAAAUCAAGGUAGGAGUACCCGCUGAACUUAAGCAUAUCAAUAAGCCGGAGGAA
rnacentral:rRNA from 1 species